UGAUACUUCACAUCAGAAGUUGCUGCAGCCUUGGAGAAGCAUAUGUGCUGAUUCACGUUCCAGCUCUGUUUUCUCCAGAAAAACACUCAAGAUUACAGUUAAAUUAGGAAAAACAUGAUUGGAGCAGAGUGUCCUGUGGUGGUGAGGCAGUGCUGGUCUCAGCUGACUUCCUGCUUCGCCUUGAGUCUCAUGCUCAGCUCCUGCCACCCCUAAAACAACCUCCUGCAAAAGAGCUGGCUGAGCACACAUGAACCAAAUGCAUGGAAAGGCUGAUUUUCAUAAGAGCUCCAGCUCUGAAACAUCCACUUGGCAGGACCAGCGUGGGAUCUAAAGGCUGCUGACAUUCUUUGUCUUCUGAGGAAAACAC